UCUCCUGUAGCUCAGUGGUAGAGCGUCCGACCGGUGUGCGGAAGGUCAUACGUUCGACUCCUGUUGCGAGAA